rnacentral:piRNA from 1 species
UAGCAAGAGUUGUGCUGUAUCAGCC